rnacentral:rRNA from 1 species
GUUCAUAGCCAUGCUUCUUUGAACAUUCCUGUCAAGUCUCAUUUCAGAAGCUAAGCGGGGUAUGGUCUGGUUAGUACUUGGAUGGAAGAAAAUCCAGGCCGAGGAGUU